rnacentral:rRNA from 1 species
CAGGUUGAAGGUGCGGUAAAACGCACUGGAGGACCGAACCAGGGCACGUUGAAAAGUGCUUGGAUGACUUGUGGGUAGCGGAGAAAUUCCAAACGAACUUGGAGAUAGCUGGUUCUCUCCGAAAUAGCUUUAGGGCUAGCGUCGACAUAAAGAUUCUUGGAGGUAGAGCACUGUUUGGGUGAGGGGUCCAUCCCGGAUUACCAAUCUCAGAUAAACUCCGAAUGCCAAUGAAUUAUGGUCGGCAGUCAGACUGCGAGUGCUAAGAUCCGUAGUCGAAAGGGAAACAGCCCAGACCACCAGCUAAGGUCCCAAAAUAAUUGUUAAGUGGAAAAGGAUGUGGGGUUGCACAGACAACUAGGAUGUUAGCUUAGAAGCAGCUAUUCAUUCAAAGAGUGCGUAAUAGCUCACUAGUCGAGUGACCCUGCGCCGAAAAUGUACCGGGGCUAAAACAAUUUACCGAAGCUGUGGAUCCCUUAGGGGAUGGUAGGAGAGCGUUCUAUGUGUGGAGAAGGUGUACCGUGAGGAGCGCUGGAACGCAUAGAAGUGAGAAUGCCGGUAUGAGUAGCGAAAGACAGGUGAGAAUCCUGUCCACCGUAAGACUAAGGUUUCCAGGGGAAGGCUCGUCCGCCCUGGGUUAGUCGGGACCUAAGGAGAGACCGAAAGGUGUAUCCGAUGGACAACAGGUUGAUAUUCCUGUACUAGAGUAUGUAGUGAUGGAGGGACGCAGUAGGCUAACUAAAGCAGACGAUUGGAAGUGUCUGUCUAAGCAGUGAGGUGUGAACUGAGUCAAAUGCUUAGUUCUAUAACAUUGAGCUGUGAUGGGGAGCGAAGUUUAGUAGCGAAGUUAGUGACGUCACACUGCCAAGAAAAGCUUCUAGCGUUUAAACAUACUCUACCCGUACCGCAAACCGACACAGGUAGUCGAGGCGAGUAGCCUCAGGUGAGCGAGAGAACUCUCGUUAAGGAACUCGGCAAAAUGACCCCGUAACUUCGGGAGAAGGGGUGCUGACUUUAAGUCAGCCGCAGUGAAUAGGCCCAAGCAACUGUUUAUCAAAAACACAGCUCUCUGCUAAAUCGUAAGAUGAUGUAUAGGGGGUGACGCCUGCCCGGUGCUGGAAGGUUAAGAGGAGUGCUUAGCGUAAGCGAAGGUAUGAAUUGAAGCCCCAGUAAACGGCGGCCGUAACUAUAACGGUCCUAAGGUAGCGAAAUUCCUUGUCGGGUAAGUUCCGACCCGCACGAAAGGCGUAAUGAUUUGGGCACUGUCUCAACGAGAGACUCGGUGAAAUUUUAGUACCUGUGAAGAUGCAGGUUACCCGCGACAGGACGGAAAGACCCCAUGGAGCUUUACUGCAGUUUGAUAUUGAGUGUCUGUGCCACAUGUACAGGAUAGGUAGGAGCCUAUGAAAUCGGGACGCCAGUUUCGAUGGAGGCGUUGUUGGGAUACUACCCUUGUGUUAUGGCCACUCUAACCCGGUAGGUUUAUCAUCUACGGAGACAGUGUCUGACGGGCAGUUUGACUGGGGCGGUCGCCUCCUAAAAGGUAACGGAGGCGCCCAAAGGUUCCCUCAGAAUGGUUGGAAAUCAUUCGCAGAGUGUAAAGGUAUAAGGGAGCUUGACUGCGAGAGCUACAACUCGAGCAGGGACGAAAGUCGGGCUUAGUGAUCCGGUGGUUCCGCAUGGAAGGGCCAUCGCUCAACGGAUAAAAGCUACCCUGGGGAUAACAGGCUUAUCUCCCCCAAGAGUUCACAUCGACGGGGAGGUUUGGCACCUCGAUGUCGGCUC